rnacentral:rRNA from 1 species
GGGUUGUGAGGUUAAGCGACUAAGCGUACACGGUGGAUGCCCUGGCAGUCAGAGGCGAUGAAGGACGUGCUAAUCUGCGAUAAGCGUCGGUAAGGUGAUAUGAACCGUUAUAACCGGCGAUUUCCGAAUGGGGAAACCCAGUGUGAUUCGUCACACUAUCAUUACGUGAAUACAUAGCGUAAUGAAGCGAACCGGGGGAACUGAAACAUCUAAGUACCCCGAGGAAAAGAAAUCAACCGAGAUUCCCCC